rnacentral:rRNA from 1 species
GAUGAACGCUGGCGGCGUGCCUAAUACAUGCAAGUCGAGCGAACAGAUAAGGAGCUUGCUCCUUUGACGUUAGCGGCGGACGGGUGAGUAACACGUGGAUAACCUACCUAUAAGACUGGGAUAACUUCGGGAAACCGGAGCUAAUACCGGAUAACAUAUUGAACCGCAUGGUUCAAUAGUGAAAGGCGGCUUUGCUGUCACUUAUAGAUGGAUCCGCGCCGUAUUAGCUAGUUGGUAAGGUAACGGCUUACCAAGGCAACGAUACGUAGCCGACCUGAGAGGGUGAUCGGCCACACUGGAACUGAGACACGGUCCAGACUCCUACGGGAGGCAGCAGUAGGGAAUCUUCCGCAAUGGGCGAAAGCCUGACGGAGCAACGCCGCGUGAGUGAUGAUGGUCUUCGGAUCGUAAAACUCUGUUAUCAGGGAAGAACAAAUGUGUAAGUAACUGUGCACAUCUUGACGGUACCUGAUCAGAAAGCCACGGCUAACUACGUG